CUUUCCGCAGCCUUUUGCAGGGCUCGCCUUGACUGCAGCUCCAAAGGAGGAUCAGGAGGAAGGAAAGCCCAAAAUCUAAGUAAAAAACAUCUUCAGUGCCAGUCCCACCCAGGAGACAAGCACCACUCAAGCAGCUGAAGAUUAAGCAUGCUGAACUUUGAAGAAAAUAGAGCUUAAGUGAAGAUCCUGCAGCCAAAUAUUCUUAAAUGACUUAAGUAGUGAGGAAGGAAGUACAAGGUAAUAAUACUGUUCUUAUGACUCA